GUGAGGAAUAUUGGUCAAUGGGCGCGAGCCUGAACCAGCCAAGUCGCGUGAGGGAUGACGGCCCUACGGGUUGUAAACCUCUUUUGUCGGGGAGCAAAUUCCGUUACGUGUAACGGAGUCGAGAGUACCCGAAGAAAAAGCAUCGGCUAACUCCGUGCCAGCAGCCGCGGUAAUACGGAGGAUGCGAGCGUUAUCCGGAUUUAUUGGGUUUAAAGGGUGCGUAGGCGGACUGUCAAGUCAGCGGUAAAAUACGGGGGCUCAACCUCCGCCCGCCGUUGAAACUGACGGUCUUGAGUGGGCGAGAAGUAUGCGGAAUGCGUGGUGUAGCGGUGAAAUGCAUAGAUAUCACGCAGAACUCCGAUUGCGAAGGCAGCAUACCGGCGCCCAACUGACGCUGAAGCACGAAAGCGUGGGUAUCGAACAGG
rnacentral:rRNA from 1 species